CGAUUUUGUUUACACUGUGAAGCCAAAAUGAACAAAUUCUUGACAGGCUAUCAAAUAUUGUGUCUUGCCCACCGAGACUGGGUGGUCAGGGGUAUUUUCGACUAUCGGUUGCUCUCGUGGAAUGCUCUCAGUCAUCCCAUUUACCCCUAGCAAAAGGAAAUGUGUUAACACUGUUAACAAUGAUGAAUCGGUAGAACUCAGGAGGCCCUCAGUUUAAGUUGUUUAUGACAUUCAAUCAUGAUGGUUUUCGGGGGAGGGGGGUCAAAUUAUGUCCAACUUACGAUAAUUGUAUAAUAAGGAGUUCGGUUGACUUUGGUUCCUGGCGGUUGAUU